UAAAGGGACACUUCACCCAUUUGCAUUAAGCUUUGUAUCAUUAGAACCCCAGUCAUAUUUUUUAAUGGUCGUGCAUCAUUCCCUCACUUUCCCUGAGAGGGGAGAAAUAAGGAUUUUAGUGUUGCACUUCCUGCUUCCAAUGAUGUAAAAAUCGUCAUUUUGCGUCAUUGGAAGCAGGAAGUCUCAUAUCUCUGUAGAGGGAGUGAGACUACAAACACUACUUCCUCAUUUUUUUUUCACUCACGUUACAGACCUAUUACAGAUCAGUGGGUAGGACUUCACCUGCAGAAACUAAAAAAUAUAACCGCCAUCUUGUUUGGAAGCUAAGCGGAGGCGCUGACGAGCCAGACGUUACGACUAUGUUAAUCAAUGUAAUAUGGAAGAAAUUCGAAAGUAUGAUGGUCGAAUCAGAUGUUCGUGGCUACCUCUAUGAGCCGCAAUAUAGCGAAGAGCAGCUGAGGCUUCUGCAGCCGAGGCAGAGGACCUGCCUGUCGCGGACGAGGAGCCCGGACUGGCUCGAGCUGGGGUGGACUGCUGGUGCCUGUGCUCUCGCUGUGCGCCUACGGACACACGGACGUCUGACUGUAAAACAAUAUCGCCUAACAGCCCUUCUGGAAUGGGUCCUGCAAGGCGAGAGAUUGGGUCGAGGCCAUCGUGUCGUUUUACCCGCUUAUGUGGUGCAGGCUAUCCGACAGAAAUAUCCAGCUCCAGAUGGCCAGUACUGCGGGCACCAAGAAGUUGAGGAGGAACUAUAACUGUCAAUGUUAACAUAUUUAUUUUUGUUGUUGUUGAUAUAUUUCUGUAAAUAAAUGGUUUAGAUUCA